GUGGCGAACGGGUGAGUAACACGUGAGUAACCUGCCCUUGACUCUGGAAUAAGCGUUGGAAACGACGUCUAAUACCGGAUACGAGCUUCAGCCGCAUGGCUAGGAGCUGGAAAGAAUUUCGGUCAAGGAUGGACUCGCGGCCUAUCAGGUAGUUGGUGAGGUAAUAGCUCACCAAGCCUACGACGGGUAGCCGGCCUGAGAGGGUGACCGGCCACACUGGAACUGAGACACGGUCCAGACUCCUACGGGAGGCAGCAGUGGGGAAUAUUGCACAAUGGGCGCAAGCCUGAUGCAGCAACGCCGCGUGAGGGACGACGGCCUUCGGGUUGUAAACCUCUUUUAGUAGGGAAGAAGCGAAAGUGACGGUACCUGCAGAAAAAGCACCGGCUAACUACGUGCCAGCAGCCGCGGUAAUACGUAGGGUGCAAGCGUUAUCCGGAAUUAUUGGGCGUAAAGAGCUCGUAGGCGGUUUGUCGCGUCUGCUGUGAAAACUGGGGGCUCAACCCCCAGCCUGCAGUGGGUACGGGCAGACUAGAGUGCGGUAGGGGAGAUUGGAAUUCCUGGUGUAGCGGGGGAAU
rnacentral:rRNA from 1 species